UUCAAGAAUUGUACGAAAGGAAAGUAUAGAAUUUCAAUCACAGCAACACAAACAAUUGAUCUUGUCCCAGGUGGCAGGAGCAGGACUCCUGCUUCCAGAGGCUCCGAGGAAGGCAAGCGCAGCUCUGGAACCAGGGCUGGCCCCAGUGCAAAGCAGGGCCCCAGGGAGCACCGAUGAGGGGACCUUGGAUCUGAGAGAGCCCGGCCCGGGAAUGUGCUGGGGAAAGGGCUGUGCAGAAGGGCCUGGAACCCUCACUGUGGGGGGGGGGUUGGGGGGGCUACUGGGCUGUUUGCUCAGGAGGCAGGGAAGCUCAGGGGACUGAUCCCUGCCUUCAGAUAUUCCCAGCACCCAUGGGGAGGAUGGGCUGGAUGUGUGCUGGUGGCCGCCGGGGGCAGGGCUGGUGCUGCGGGGAGCAGGGAGGAUGCCCCGCACCCCUGAGCCCUCAGUUUGGGAGAUAGGACAGCACUGGGUGCUGCCCGCUGGCUGCUUACCACGAACCCACAGGCCCUGUGGCAAGUGAGCUCCGGGCAUAUCUGUUUAUUUUCCGUAACAACCCUGCCAAGGAGGCGGCGCCACCGUCCUCAGUUUACGGACGAGGACAUCGAGGCACAGAGAGGGGCCCAUGUCCCUCGUCCCUCGAGCCCAGCGCAGGCCCUCUGGGAGAGCCCCAGGCCACAGACAUGUGGUGCGGGAGCCAGAACACGGGGCCAUGAAUCCCCGCUCUGCUGUUACCAGGCCAGCAGUGAAGGACCAGCGACCCGAGGACGUUGGGGGCAGGCCAGGGGACACACCCACCUCCCGGACUCCCUUGCAGCUAGGCUGAGCAGGGCACCCACUCCUGGCUGCUGAGAUGUAAGGACGAGUCAGCAAGGAGGGCCCCGAGAAGGCUGUGGUGCUCCCCACCUCUUGGCACGUCUCUGUGCUGGC